UACGUAGGGGGCAAGCGUUGUCCGGAUUUAUUGGGCGUAAAGAGCGUGUAGGCGGUCAGGUAGGUCCGUUGUGAAAACUCGAGGCUCAACCUCGAGACGCCGAUGGAAACCAUCUGACUUGAGUCCGGAAGAGGAGAGUGGAAUUCCUGGUGUAGCGGUGAAAUGCGCAGAUAUCAGGAAGAACACCCGUGGCUAAGGCGGCUCUCUAGUACGGUACUGACGCUGAGACGCGAAAGCGUGGGGAGCGAACAGG
rnacentral:rRNA from 1 species